UCCCCGUUACCGGGGCAGUCUAGCUAGAGAAAUCCAACUAACUAUAAGGGUUGCGCUCGUUGAUGGACUUAACCAAACAUCUCACGACACGAGCUGACGACGGCCAUGCAUCACCUGUCACUACGGUCCGAAGACACUCUCUCCUUUCGGAGAAAUUAGUAGGAUGUCAAACCUGGGUAAGGUUCUUCGCUUAUCAUCGAAUUAAACAACACGCUCCACCGCUUGUGCGGGUCCCCGUCAAUUCCUUUAUGUUUUAGCCUUGCGGCCGUACUCCACAGGCGGGAUGCUUAACGCGUUAGCUUCGCAACACACAGGGUCGAUACUGUGUACUGCUAGCAUCCAUCGUUUACGGCGUGGACUAC
rnacentral:misc_RNA from 1 species